CCUACGGGUGGCAGCAGUGGGGAAUAUUGGGCAAUGGGCGCAAGCCUGACCCAGCAACGCCGCGUGAAGGAAGAAGGCUUUCGGGUUGUAAACUUCUUUUCGCAGGGACGAAGCAAGUGAAGGUACCUGAGGAAGAAGCAACGGCGAACUACGGGCCAGCAGCCGCGGUAAUACGUAGGUGGCAAGCGUUAUCCGGAUGUAGUGGGUGUAAAGGGGGUGUAGGCGGGACUGCAAGUCAGAUGUGAAAACCACGGGCUCGACCUGUGGCCUGCAUUUGAAACUGUAGUUCUUGAGUACUGGAGAGGCAGACGGAAUUCCUGGUGUAGCGGUGAAAUGCGUAGAUAUUAGGAGGAAAACCAGUGGCGAAGGCGGUCUGCUGGACAGCAACUGACGCUGAGGCGCGAAGGCGUGGGGAGCGAACAGGAUUAGAUACCCCAGUAGUC
rnacentral:rRNA from 1 species